AAUCAACGCUGGCGGCGUGCCUCAGACAUGCAAGUCGAACGAUUAAAGCUCUCUUCGGAGAGUGUAUAGAGUGGCGCACGGGUGAGUAACACGUAAGUAAUCUACCUUUGAGUGGGGAAUAACAGUCGGAAACGGCUGCUAAUACCGCAUAACGCAGCGGCACCGCAAGGUGACAGUUGUUAAAGGAGCAAUCCGCUUAAAGAGGAGCUUGCGGCAGAUUAGCUUGUUGGUAAGGUAACGGCUUACCAAGGCUACGAUCUGUAUCCGGUCUAAGAGGACGGUCGGACACACUGACACUGAAUAACGGGUCAGACUCCUACGGGAGGCAGCAGUCGGGAAUUUGGGCAAUGGGCGAAAGCCUGACCCAGCAACGCCGCGUGAAGAUGAAGUAUUUCGGUAU
rnacentral:rRNA from 1 species